CUAUUCAGAGAUGUGAAGGAUGAGGAGCUAUGGAGCUUCUUUUAUGGAAUGUCUCCUUGGCAGUUUAUACUAAUUGUUGCUGCAAGCUCAGUGGGAGAGGAGCUAUUUUACCGAGCUGCCCUUCAGGGAGCGUUGGCUGAUAUAUUUCUAAGGGGCACUGAUCUAGUAACUGAUGCUCGAGGAAUGGCAUCUCUGGUAUGUGCCCUAGUC